rnacentral:misc_RNA from 1 species
UCCGGCUUCCCGCCGGCAGUCUCCCGAGAGUCCCCGCCUUUACGCGCUGGCAACACGGGACAAGGGUUGCGCUCGUUGCGGGACUUAACCCAACAUCUCACGACACGAGCUGACGACAGCCAUGCACCACCUGUGCAGGACCCUUUAAAGGACACCACAUCUCUGCGGUUUUUCCCUGCAUGUCAAACCCAGGUAAGGUUCUUCGCGUCGCCUCGAAUUAAGCAACAUGCUCCGCCGCUUGUGCGGGCCCCCGUCAAUUCAUUUGAGUUUUAACCUUGCGGCCGUACUCCCCAGGCGGUCUACUUAAUGCGUUAGCUGCGCCACAAGAGAUACAAGAUCCCCAACGGCUAGUAGACAGCGUUUACAGCGUGGACUAC